rnacentral:lncRNA from 1 species
GAGUGAGUCGCCUGAGCCAUGAGUCGAUGCGUUGUUCAUGUGUUCAUCCUCUUUAGGAUCUUCACAGCUGAAGUGGUUUCCAUUGCAGGAAGAAGUCGGAUUUGUUUGCUGAACUCAAAGAGGGUCAAAGCCCCAAGGUCAGCUUAACCAAACUCAAAUCUCAUAAUGACCUGAAAUGAAGAGCUCACUUGAUCAGUCUUUCGAUUGAUAAAAUAUAUGCUAGUCAUCAGUAAUUACAACAAUUCAAGAGAGAGGGAGGAUUGCAGCAUACUCAACUGAGAAAGAGAAGACAGUGUGGCGUGUUUCGGUUUAAUUUUCCUGUUAAUGAUAAGCUUAAAUUAGUGGUGGUGGUGAUGGUGGUGCAGUUCAUGGUGUUCGCAUGCGCCGACUCCCGUGUGUGCCCGUCCGUGGUG